UUGUUUGUUCCAAUUCAUCAGAUCUUGCUCGAAAGGGUUAGGUUGUGCGAUCUGGAGCUUUUCAGAUCGUUGUAUUCCCACUUGUUGUAUCGUUUUCGUCAUAAUAACUAGUUGUCGGUGCAUGGAUGAUUUUGCGUUGGCGUUCGGAUUCACUCGUCGUAACUAAGGUAUCGAUUCAUCUAGCUCAUCUUUGGUUUGUUGCUUGCAAUCGCUCACUCGCCACAUUUUUUUGCAAUUUGGUUUCGUGUGCAUAUGCUUGCUUGUUGGAUCUUUUACCUUUUUUGCUGUUUUUAACAUUAUUUAGUGUACGUAUUUUUAUAUUCAUUGUUUUCUGCCAUGAAACUAUUACCAUUUCCCAAUUUCUUUUUCCACUUAUGACGACUUUCUUUAAUUUUUAAGCCGAUUUGAUUUUGUUUCAAGAUUUUUUCCAAUAUAUUAAUUGUUUGCCGAGCUUAAUUUUUGAUUAAUUUUUUCUUGUGAUUAUCAAUAAAUUUUCAAUCAAAAUAAUAAUGCAUGUUUAAUUAAAUUUGAAUGUUAGAAUAUUUAUUUUUCAUGUGACAGGUGUUUGGUGGCUGAUUCAUAAGUUCGACAAGGAGUGUUGAGAUGAAUGCCAAAC
rnacentral:lncRNA from 1 species